rnacentral:rRNA from 1 species
UACGUAGGAGGCAAGCGUUGUCCGGAAUUACUGGGGGUAAAGCGCUUGUAGGCGGCAGGCCAAGUCUGUGGUGAAAUCGCUCGGCUCAACUGGGCGGGGUCCAUGGAAACUGGUCAGCUGGAGGACGGUAGAGGUGAGUGGAAUUCCCGGUGUAGUGGUGAAAUGCGUAGAGAUCGGGAGGAACACCCGUGGCGAAGGCGGCUCACUGGGCCGGUCCUGACGCUGAGACGCGAAGGCGUGGGGAGCGAACGGG